AUACGGAGGGUGCAAGCGUUAUUCGGAAUCACUGGGCGUAAAGGACGCGUAGGCGGGUUGGCAAGUCAGAUGUGAAAUCCUACAGCUUGACUGUAGAACUGCAUUUGAAACUGCUAACCUAGAGUAUGGGAGGGGGAGAUGGAAUUAGUGGUGUAGGGGUAAAAUCCGUAGAUAUCACUAGGAAUACCGAAAGCGAAGGCGAUCUCCUGGAACAUAACUGACGCUAAGGCGUGAAAGCGUGGGGAGCAAACAGGAUUAGAAACCCUAGUAGUCC
rnacentral:rRNA from 1 species